GCUGGAUGUGGUGGUGCAUGCCUGUAGUCCCAGGCACUCAGGAGGAUGAGCAUGACAGAUCACUUGAGCCCAGGAGUUCUGGGCUGCAGUGCGCUAUGACGAACGGGAGUCCGCGCUAAGGCCGGCAUCAGUACGGUGACUCCUGGGGAGCUGCAGGACACCAGAUUGUCUAAGGAGGGAUGAGCCAUCCCAGGUUGGAAAUGGAGCAGGUCAAAGCUCCCAUGCUGGUCAGUUGUUUUCUUUUUCUUUUUUUUUUUUUACUUUCCUGGUUUUGGCCAGGAUAGUGUUAAAUUUCCUU
rnacentral:SRP_RNA from 1 species